GCCGGGCGUGGUGGCUCACGCCUGUAAUCCCAGCACUUUGGGAGGCCGAGGCGGGUGGAUCACCUGAGGUCAGGAGUUCAAGACCAGCCUGGCCAAUAUGGUGAGACCCCGUCUCUA
ensembl:misc_RNA Metazoa_SRP Metazoan signal recognition particle RNA